rnacentral:rRNA from 1 species
UACGUAGGUGGCAAGCGUUGUCCGGAUUUAUUGGGUUUAAAGGGUGCGUAGGCGGCCUAUUAAGUCAGUGGUGAAAUAUCUCAGCUCAACUGAGAGUGUGCCAAUGAUACUGAUGGGCUUGAGUACAGAUGAGGUAGGCGGAAUUGACGGUGUAGCGGUGAAAUGCUUAGAUAUCGUCAAGAACACCUAUAGCGAAGGCAGCUUACUAGGCUGUAACUGACGCUGAGGCACGAAAGUGUGGGGAUCAAACAGG